rnacentral:piRNA from 1 species
UAGAGCCAAACCAUAUCAGUUAGUCAGUGAA